AACAGAAUUCAGAGGAAGAGAGGAAGGGGGGCAGCUAAGAAGCGUGAAUAUGCAGAGGCAGCAUUCCUGAGGAACUGUAGUUACUAUGUCUCCAGGUAGAAGAACCCAAACAAAUGUAUCUGCUGCUGUCAGUGGGUAUCAGCAAUGGAAGCUGAUGUUGAGUACUGUUUUGCUGAUUAAAGAAAGAAACAAGUCAUCACUUGACUGCCUAUUGCAAGACAUCUCUGGCCUUGACUGAUAAUAAAAAGGACUGAAUAGUACGAAGCCUAAGGAAUGAAGCUCAAUCACUCCCAGCAAUUACUGUGUCUUAUUGAUAACUUGCAGCUCUAUCCUGCAAAUGCCAUCUCUGGAACAAAGCCUGUCACAGAUCAGACUGAAUCCAUUAAAAAGCUUUGAUUAACAUGUCCCUGGGGUGUGCUGUGGAAACUUUUUACACCAAAUGACAGCCUAUUGCUACUGCUUCUGAAUUGUCCUCCUGAAAUACUCUUGUGUUUUAAUCUAGUGCACAGUUUAAAUUAA